rnacentral:SRP_RNA from 1 species
UUUUGGGACCUAUGCGACAGAGACGCUGUGAACCGGGUCAGGCGGGGAACCGAGCAGCCCUAAGCAGUAGACCUGGGCGCUGUAGGAUACCUGAUCUGG